rnacentral:rRNA from 1 species
ACUACGGGAGGCAGCAGUGGGGAAUAUUGGGCAAUGGGCGCAAGCCUGACCCAGCAACGCCGCGUGAAGGAAGAAGGCUUUCGGGUUGUAAACUUCUUUUCUCAGGGACGAAGAAAGUGACGGUACCUGAGGAAUAAGCCACGGCUAACUACGUGCCAGCAGCCGCGGUAAUACGUAGGUGGCAAGCGUUAUCAGGAUUUAUUGGGUGUAAAGGGCGUGUAGGCGGGAGCGCAAGUCAGAUGUGAAAACUCAGGGCUCAACCCUGAGCCUGCAUUUGAAACUGUGUUUCUUGAGUGCUGGAGAGGCAAUCGGAAUUCCGUGUGUAGCGGUGAAAUGCGUAGAUAUACGGAGGAACACCAGUGGCGAAGGCGGAUUGCUGGACAGUAACUGACGCUGAGGCGCGAAAGCGUGGGGAGCAAACAGGAUUAGAUACCCCAGUAGUC